UACGGAGGGUGCGAGCGUUGUCCGGAAUCACUGGGCGUAAAGGGCGCGUAGGUGGCGCGACAAGUCAGUGGUGAAAGUUCGACGCUCAACGUCGAAUCGGCCACUGAUACUGUUGGGCUUGAGCACUGUAGAGGCUAAUGGAAUUCCGGGUGUAGCGGUGGAAUGCGUAGAGAUCCGGAAGAACACCGGUGGCGAAGGCGGCCUGCUGGGCAGUGGCUGACACUGAGGCGCGACAGCGUGGGGAGCAAACAGG
rnacentral:rRNA from 1 species